ACACACACAACCUUGAGGCGGAUGGGCUACAACAGCAGAAGACCCCACCGGGUACCACUCAUCUCCACUGAGCUGUAGUGGAAGACCAUCCGUGCCUCUGAGGAACCAGUCGGCGUCCUGGAGAUACUGAAAGCGGGCAACGACACAUUUGUGGUGGUUGAAAACCUGAGAUACCUACUUUGUCAGCAUGACACAGAGAAGCCUGUUUAUUUCGGGCACGGGUUCCGGCCGCUUGUUCGUCAGGGUUACAUGAGCGGAGGAGCCGGAUAAGUUCUGAGCCGAGAGGCUCUCAGGAGAUUUGUGCAAGGUUUCGACACGGAAAGCUACAAGCAUUUCAGCUCCGUGGAGGACAUGGCCUUGGGGAGGAGGAUGGAGACCAUGGGAGUGAAGGCCGGGGAUUCAAGAGAUCCAAACAAACAAGAAACAUUUAAUCCUUUUACACCGGAAAACCUUCGCCAGAGAGUGGAAAACGAGCCUGCUACAGUUACUACACAACAAAACAGGGCGAGCAAAGCGGAAGAUCUCAUUGGCCUUUCUGAUGCCACUACCUGUGUUGAUGUGGCUGUAGAGAACGACCCCUACACGCGUCACCUCCGGACUGACUGACACACGGUCGAUCAAGGUGGGCCAGGAUAGCCCUCUCCCUUCAGCCCUGGAGGUCCAAUGGGUCCUUGUAACCCCAUUUCACCCUAAAGACAAACAAAAUUGAUCAUCUGAGUCACAAAAGAACAGUGCAGAUUUCAACUGGGAAGUCACUCCUACCUUCGGCCCUGCAAUACCUAUCCCUGUUUCUCCGGCAAGUCCUGAUGGACCAGCUGGCCCUGGAUCUCCCUACAGGAAGAUGAACAAUUGAACAUGGAAUGAGAUCUCCUGAUAAAGCUUGAUUUCUUUAACAUACCUUAGCUCCGGGUAUGCCUCUUCCCGAAGGCCCAGGAACACCUGGAAGUCCAACAUUCCCUGGUUGUCCCUAUUUUAAUUGAACGACAAAGAACAUUCAGAGAACAGCGGUCAUGUCACCACAGUUUAGUUGAAACGACAACCUACUUUGGGCCCUGGUUCUCCGAUUCCUCUUUCUCCAGUGGCUCCAGGAUCUCCAGGGAAUCCUUGUUCUCCCUAAAAGAGCAGACAAAACAAAGUUAUAUAUCCUUCAAAGAAAAGGUCAGAGAGCCUAUCUAUCGAAAAGGGAAUGACCUUAAAAAGAAGCAGGAACAGCAACGGUCUCUGCUCACCUUAGGGCCAGGGAGUCCCUCGCCUGGAGCUCCUGGGUUCCCCUGUGAUCCUGAUAGACCUGGCUGACCAAUGCCAACCUGACCUGGAGGACCUGUUCUUCCAGGGUUUCCUUUGUCGCCCUAAAAGAAAUCAUUUUCCUGUUGAGAACAACCAGCUGAAAAGUUUACCUUUGGUCCAGGGAAUCCAAUUCCAAUAUCUCCCGGCGGGCCAGACGCACCAGACGGCCCUCGGUCCCCCUAGGAACAACCUGAAGAUCUUCCCUGUGGAUGAGGAACCAGGAACAAGAACCGUGUUGGUCAGAGAGUCAGAGAUAAAAUGUAUAAACUGACCCUAUGAAGAUGUGAUGUACCUCUGGACCAUUGAAUCCUGGAAGACCAGGUGCUCCUGUUUCCCCCUGUAAAAUCAGUCAGAGCAGUGCAUCAACAACAAUACACUACAGUCUAAUCAUCUUUAAACACAUAUGGUAUUUUCACUCUCACCCUUGAGCCUUUUGCACCAGGCGGUCCUUCAUAACCUUGCUCUCCUUUUUCACCCUAAAAAUAGAGCUGUCUUCAUGAACGCCACAAGUGAAGGAAAAUGGCCUCAAUUCAAUCCCAGCAAUACUCACGGAAGCUCCUGGAAGACCUCGUUCACCUUUCUCACACGAACACGCCGGUGGCCGUGGGCACUGGCAAGACAAAUACAACCGCGACCGCCGCCAUGAUGUCAGGAUUCCUCGGAUGGUCGAUGCCGUCUGUCAUGAGCAGGGCCACCCGGACACUCUGC